ACGGGGUGCAGCAGGCGCGAAACCUUCACUAUGCAUUAGCGUGCGAUGAGGGAAUCUGAAGUGUUUAUGCUUUGCAUAAACUUUUUUCGAGUUGAAACAGCUCGGAGAAUAAGGGGUGGGCAAUACAAGUGCCAGCCGCCGCGGUAAUACUUGAGCCCCGAGUGGUAUCCGGUAUUAGUUGGUCUAAAGCGUCCGUAGCCGGUUUAAUAAGUUCCUGGUGAAAUUCACUGGAAAACUGGUGAGCUUGUCGGGAAUACUGUUAAACUUGGGAUCGGGAGAGGGUAGAGGUACUGCUGGGGAAGGGGUAAAAUCCUAUAAUCCUAGUGGGACCACCUGUGGCGAAGGCGUCUACCUAGAACGAGUCCGACGGUGAGGAACGAAACCUAGGGGAGCGAUCGGGAUUAGAUACAUUCGUGUAAUCUAUCCAAUUACCGGUGCUAAAAACCCCGGUAGUCCUAGGUGUAAACAAUGCCCACUUGGUGUUACAAACCUUACGAGGGUUUGUAGUGCCGGAGCGUAGGUGUUAAGUGGGCCACCUGGGGAGUACGACCGCAAGGUUGAAACUUAAAGGAAUUGGCGGGGGAGCAC
rnacentral:rRNA from 1 species